CUCUCUCUCGCUCGCUCUCUCUCGUCAUUUGCCCUCUGGAAAGAAAAUUGCCCGUGGAGAGGCCCACAUGCUGAGGAACCAAAGCCUGCCAAUAACUAGUUCUUAAAUUUGGACAUUUCUACUUGACACGACCCUCCAGAAGACCCAUAUACAAUGGAUACACAAAAGUCAGAACCUUAGCAUAUGUGGGGAUUUCAAUGUGUUGGAGCAAUUUGGAACAUUCGGAUCUUUGGGUGGUCUGGAUUGAGCCUUGCCCCAUCUUGAUUCCCAAUUCUAGCAUAGUCAUGACCCUGUUGCUCUCUCUGGGUUCUUUUCUAAUUUAAAAUCAUUUCCUUUUGCUUUUUCUUUUUUUUUGGAGUGAAGGAGAAAAUGUUUCUCAUUGAAUAUCAGCAUGCUAAGAGUUUUUCCAAUGUCCAUUAAGAGUUCCCACAGAGACUAAGGAAUACAUCUCCAAGGCAGAUCUGGAAGGAAGCAGAACUUCUAUGUAUAUAAUAAUUUUACUUAAGAACAAAGAGAGUGUAUCCUUUCACUUAUGAUUAGUAAUUAUAGCUCAAGUCAAAAGUAUGCAUGAAAAGGGCUCGCAUGGUAAGAAUUUCCACAUGUCUGUAUCUCUUUUUAUAUUGCCAUCUUCUUCUCUAGGCUCCUGAAAUUCCUGCUUCUGUGUCCAGGUAUCAUCUUCAUUCUCAUUUUCUAUGUUUGGUAAGCAUCUGCAUUUCAAAGACAGUACCUCUUAUUUUUGAAAAAGAUGUCAUGUACUAUUAUAAUAAGUGUGAUAGGCUUAGUGUUCUGAGAAGAUAUCAAUGCUUCCUGAGGACUGAUCUUUGUCUUCUAAUUUCAACCACCUGGUGUAUCAAUAUAUUAACUAAAUUAUUGCUAAGUCUCCUAAGGCUAAUAAACAUUUCUCAUCCCCAGGAUUUAUUUGUUUACAGUAUCUUAAAUUACUGGAGAUCAUAAAGGAUAACCCUUCAUCUCCCUUAUUGCCGUGACCUUUCAGAAUGAAGAGAGCU
rnacentral:lncRNA from 10 species